AUUGAACGCUGGCGGCAGGCCUAACACAUGCAAGUCGAGCGGAUGAAGGGAGCUUGCUCCUGGAUUCAGCUGCGGACGGGUGAGUAAUGCCUAGGAAUCUGCCUGGUAGUGGGGGAUAACGUCCGGAAACGGGCGCUAAUACCGCAUACGUCCUGAGGGUGAAAGUGGGGGAUCUUCGGACCUCACGCUAUCAGAUGAGCCUAGGUCGGAUUAGCUAGUUGGUGGGGUAAAGGCUUACCAAGGCGACGAUCCGUAACUGGUCUGAGAGGAUGAUCAGUCACACUGGAACUGAGACACGGUCCAGACUCCUACGGGAGGCAGCAGUGGGGAAUAUUGGACAAUGGGCGAAAGCCUGAUCCAGCCAUGCCGCGUGUGUGAAGAAGGUCUUCGGAUUGUAAAGCACUUUAAGUUGGGAGGAAGGGCAGUAAGUUAAUACCUUGCUGUUUUGACGUUACCAACAGAAUAAGCACCGGCUAACUUCGUG
rnacentral:rRNA from 1 species